UGGGGAAUUUUGGACAAUGGGGGAAACCCUGAUCCAGCCAUCCCGCGUGUGCGAUGAAGGCCUUCGGGUUGUAAAGCACUUUUGGCAGGAAAGAAACGUCAUGGGUUAAUACCCCGUGAAACUGACGGUACCUGCAGAAUAAGCACCGGCUAACUACGUGCCAGCAGCCGCGGUAAUACGUAGGGUGCAAGCGUUAAUCUGAAUUACUGGGCGUAAAGCGUGCGCAGGCGGUUCGGAAAGAAAGAUGUGAAAUCCCAGAGCUCAACUUUGGAACUGCAUUUUUAACUACCGGGCUAGAGUGUGUCAGAGGGAGGUGGAAUUCCGCGUGUAGCAGUGAAAUGCGUAGAUAUGCGGAGGAACACCGAUGGCGAAGGCAGCCUCCUGGGAUAACACUGACGCUCAUGCACGAAAGCGUGGGGAGCAAACAGG
rnacentral:rRNA from 1 species